GAAGCUGACUAUUGCUGUAAUAUUGGGCUAUGUAUAUAACAUUUAAUUAAAUUCAUAAAAACAAGCUAUGUAAAGAUAUGGCAAUGUUAAAUGUGGAGAAUUGUGAGAUUUUAAGCAAAUGUUUAAUACAGUUUAACUUGGGAAGUGUGAUUUGUUUUCUUUCCACCAGGGAAAACCUAAAGCUCCAUAGACCUAUGAUGUGGUCUGCAGAGAUAAAUGGAUCACUUCAGAACGAGCACCUCAGGGUCCCCCCAGAGGAGCUGGAGGAAGCGACCGGGGAAAGGGAAGUCUGGGCAUCUUUGCUUGGACUGCUGCCCCCCGCGACCCGGUCCCAGAUGAGCGGACAAAGACGGACGGAUGGAUUGAUGAAAACUAAAUUAUGUACAUCCCCUUAAAUUUUCUUCAGAACAGAGCAUUACCUCAAAUGAUUCGUUAAUAGAGCCAAUAAAAUGCCUUCUUAUGAAAACGGAUGGUCGGUACGGGCUAAAACAUUUAAAAAGUGUUGUGCAGCAGAGCAGUUAUAUUUGUAUUGACUGUCACACCUAAGCCAUAUCAAACAGUCAUUAUUAAUAUUUCACUUCAAAUAAAGACACAGAAAGAGGAAACAAACAGCAAUUUCAUAGCCGUUCUUAUGAAGUAUGCACUUUGUGUGAAAACACAAUGAACACUCAGUAAAUCAAUACCAUCCCUCUCUUCCUGCUGUCUCUCAGUAAUAUAUUGGAAAUGGAGUUAGAAAGAUUGAUUCUGUACACAGUGCUACAGGCCAAAGGAAAAUUAAAUGAAAAUGUAAA